CAUGGACAUGAGAAUCAUGGACAUGAGAGUCACGGACAGGAGAGUCAUGGACAUGAGAGUCAUGGACAUGAGACUCACGGACAUGAGAAUCAUGGACACGAGACUCAUGGACAUGAGAGUCAUGGACAUGAGACUCACGAACAGGAGAGUCAUGGACAUGAGAAUCAUGGACACGAGACUCAUGGACAUGAGACUAAUGGACACAAGACUCAUCGCCAUGAGACAACAAUCUCAUCUAAGCUCAGGGAAGAAAGGCAGGAGCAUAAAGUGACAAAUGUUGUUUGUCAGUCUCCCACAAGUCUGAGGGACACGUAGAUGAGACUCAAGGCCACAAAACAACUGCAUCUGAGCACAGGGAGGAAGAGCAGAAAGUCUCCCACAACUUUGAGGGACACCAACAUGGGAUUCAUGUCCACAAAACAGCAGGCUCAUCUGGACAUGGGCACAAAAGGGAGGAGGAGGAGGAGCAUAAAGGUAUAGUAACGGAAAUUAUCUUUUAGCUUUAUAGACUGUAGUGACAGAAACUUUCAUUGCAACUUAAACUGGGCAGCUGACUGUAUGGCACAAAAUGCCCCCUGAAAACUGGAAACAGCAGACUUACAUCCCAGUUUUUGCUGGUUAUGGUAAUGACAGUUGUGGUAUUUCAGUCUCUCACAAGCCUGAAGGACAUGGACAUGAGACUCACAGCCACAGAACAAUAAGCUCCUCUGGACAUGGGCAGGAUAGGUUGGAGGAGCAUGAAGUCUCCCACAAGUCUGAGGGACAUGGACAUGAGACCCACGCCCAUAGAACAAUAACCUCCUCUGGACAUGGGUGGGAAAGGGAGCAUGAA